rfam:Picea glauca, whole genome shotgun sequence.
ACAUGCCUACAAGAUAGCGUUAAUGCACCGGAUCCCAUUAGAACUCCGCAGUUAAGCGUGCUCGGGAUAGAGUAGUAUUGGGAUGAGUGACCACCCAUGAAGUCCUAGUAUUUUACAUGCC